CGUAAUACCGAACCAAGAAAAGUAGAUCCGCCAACAAUAAUAUUCUUAACCAUGAGCGGCUAACCCCUUUGAAUCGGGUUUCUUUUGUUCUGAACUUAUGCAUGCACAUGUUACUUUGGAUAACUAAAGUGGCCCUGAAAAUUCAGACAAGCAAUACUCUAUAUGUAUGCUUCCCCAUUAGUCAAUCUUCAAGUCUAUCUUGUCAAAAAAGGCGUGACAAGAUUAAUUGCCACAUUUGUAGGUGAUACGGGAAUCUGCUAAACAAGAUGCCAUGUUUAAGAAAGACAUAUGGCCUAUAUAUACACAAUCAAACCAGCGCAACUGUGCCAGAGGCUUGGCUGCUAGCUUUUGGCCGGUGGAGGCCGCGUCGGCUUGCCGCUCUUGCAGGCUAAGCAAAGCAAACAAAAGCAGCGAAAACGAUGGGCAAACAAAGCAACGAGAGCUAGCUGAUGCGGUGACGAUGCAGCAACCACACGGGACAGUGCAGGGCGCUGCCACACGUGGGGCGAAGUUGGCUAAGCUAGCCGUGCUGCAACAAUUCGGUAUCCCCGGGGCCCUUGCCUGCCUGCGGAAGUGCGGACUGGGCUAUUCGCUAGCCGCUACUACUACGUGCGCGUGCACCGGCGACCGACAAGGACACAGAUUGAAAGCACCGGCGGAGAAAGGGCCGGGUCGUCGCGUGGAUUUGUCGUCGCGUCGAGACGGGAGAGUGGCCCACCUGCAGCUGCAGGUCUUGGAUGAAGAAGAAGACGCGUCGCCCUGGCCCGGGCGGAUGGAAAUGGAAUUUGUGCCCCGGCCUGCCCAGUACUGGCUAGGAUUUUAUCUCCUCAUUUAAGAUUCCAAACUUUUCGAACGACGUUUUGCAAGCUGGCCUUCUGGGGUUUGAUUUUUCCCUUAAGCAUCAACGUUGAUGGACAAACACGUACUCGUACGGUGCCGUAUUGCUCAUGACCACGUGCUAGUUGUCUGGAGCAAGACUUUUUUUCUUUCUUACCUAUUCUCUACGGUUUUUUUUCUCUAUAAAACGUUUUGACAAGUCAAACUUACCAAGCUUCUUGUACAAUCCGAUAAAAAAAACCUCUUGUACAAAGAAAUACUCCUAACGCAUUUUAUGAAACCUCCGCCGGUGAAAAUGUGAAAAGUUUCGGUCCUAACCAUUGAAUCUUAAAUAAACGGAUUAUUAGACUAAAAGUGAAACCUCUAGUCACCUAACACAUUUUAUCAAACCCCCUCAUGAUUAGUGGUUCAAGGAGAGUCUUCAUAAAAUACAUCUAAGUAAAUUAGAUGUUCUACUUUCAUCUGGCUCGUUCAUUUGAGAUUUAAUGGUAAGGAUUUGAGAGUUUCAAUUUUUUACUGGACCAAAGUUUUCACCUGAUACAAGCUCAGAUAAAAUAUCUAUUUGUUGCAAAGUACUCAUAUAUUAAGGUUGCUUUUGUUUAGGCUGGAGCUGAAAAAAACUAAUUUUUUGCUCGAGAUGAGACUGACUUGCUGUUCGUUUAGUGCAACAAUGAAACGUACUGUGGCUACUGGCUAGAGCUGGAUGUGAUGGAACUAGAGCUGGAUGUGAUGGAAUGUCUGAAAUAUCCAUGUUUGCUGCAAAUUUUGAUCAAGUGACAAGUUUGUUGCUGUAAGUGCACAAAUGACAAGUUUAAAAGUUGUUUUAAGUGUAAAAUAUCCAAUUUUGACAAGACUUAACUGAAUUUAUGUAUUUUCGCUAGAUUUGCAUGAAUUGCUUCAUUUCAUAUAUCAUUUAGCUUUCAACAAUAGAGAAUAACCGAACUCGGAAUGUUAACUAUACAAUGCUGUAACUUCCUCAUUUCUCAUUUCACGCACAAACUAAUUCCUCAUUCCAUCACACAUUCAUUCCUCAUUUCAGAAAUAAAAUAACUCACAAACAAACAAAUUUCCGUUCAUCCUUUUAUAAAUAAAACCGCUCU